rnacentral:lncRNA from 1 species
GCUGGCCAAUUAGUGUGACGUGAACUAAAUGAUGAGAGCCCCAGAUAUUUUCUCUCAGGUAAGAAUUGAGAACGAGAUUGCAGGUUCCUGAUAAUGGCCACAGCAUGUUUUGUUUAUCUCCACUUUUGUCCACUGGAAAAGGAAAGUGAAACCCUCCGUGUAUUCUGUGGUGUGAGUUAAGGUUCUUCACUGGGAUCCUACUGAGUAACUCAGAAAAGUGUAAAAAAAAUACUGAAUGUCUGAAUACAACUGAAAUGCCCAAAUCACCAUCAUCUUUAUGAGCUGGACAGUAAAUGAAAGCAUUGAUGAUCCUGAAUAUGAGCCAGGGCCUUCAGAUCAUUGCAACUUACUUUGUGAAGAAAAAGAGGAAGUCAUAACCAUAACUUGAAGGGAAAGUGAAAAUGUCAGGUCAGGAUUCAAUGGAAGAAGGUGACUCAGUGUGUCAGUGGGAGAAGACUCAUGAGAGCUCUAGACAGAAGGAACAGCCCGGUGAGAAUGACCGCUUCCUAAAUGUGCUGCAGUUUGUAAUACCACAUUGCUCUGAAUCCUGUACACAUGGAAAAUCAUCCUUGCCUAAGAAGUGAGAUUUGCUACCACUCCAUAGUUGGAGUGAAUUUAAAUCGCCCAGCACAAGGUUGUUGUUAGAUACAAGCUGAGGAGAAAGGACAUUGCCUGUACAAACAAAUAUGGGUGAAGACUGAAAUCCAUAUGAACCGAG